rnacentral:rRNA from 1 species
CCUACGGGUGGCAGCAGUGAGGAAUAUUGGUCAAUGGCCGCGAGCCUGAACCAGCCAAGUCGCGUGAAGGAUGACUGCCCUACGGGUUGUAAACCUCUUUUGUAGGGGAGCAAAGAGAGUCACGUGUGACUCUUUGAGAGUACCCGAAGAAAAAGCAUCGGCUAACUCCGUGCCAGCAGCCGCGGUAAUACGGAGGAUGCGAGCGUUAUCCGGAUUUAUUGGGUUUAAAGGGUGCGCAGGCGGAGGUGCAAGUCAGCGGUCAAAUUGCGGGGCUCAACCCCGUACUGCCGUUGAAACUGCAUCCCUUGAGUGCGCGAGAAGUAUGCGGAAUGCGUGGUGUAGCGGUGAAAUGCAUAGAUAUCACGCAGAACUCCGAUUGCGAAGGCAGCAUACCGGCGCGCAACUGACGCUCAUGCACGAAAGCGUGGGUAUCGAACAGGAUUAGAUACCCGGGUAGUC